rnacentral:misc_RNA from 1 species
CUAUUCAAGAUUAGAGGAAUGGUCAAAACUGUACGGUGGAUUCUUCAAGCCUUGUGCUUACUUGGCUGAAAGAGCUGCUCAGGGCGCAACCUUGAGUUCUCCAUCUGGUGUUGCAAAAUCUCGAUUGUAAGUUAGAAAAUUUAUUGAACCUACAGGUGCAGUUCGUUCUUAUAGACCCAUAAAGAUGCCCUAUAAUAAUUUGGUCAGGUUCAUUCAUGGUUCGG